GGAUGAGCUUAAUUGUAUGUGAUAAAAAGGUUUAAGUUUGGGGUUGUUGGGGGAAAGUUGAAAAAGCAAGUGAAAAACAUUGAGCUCAAAUGUUGUGAAAAGAAAAAUUCAUGAGAAAAAGAAAAGAAAAGAAGAAAAGCAUGAAGAAGAGCUCAAUGGAAAAGAAAAAGAAAAGGGAAAAGUUGGGAAUGAGAGAGAUUGGUGAGGAAGAAAGUUGUGCUUAAAUGUUGAAUAUUUUAAUAGCUCUCUUGACUCAAGGACUUUGCAUUCUAGAAAAACCAAUUCUUUCUUGUUUGCCAAACCUCAUUACAAGCCUUGCACUAAAGAAAUCUGAUAAUUAC
rnacentral:lncRNA from 1 species